UCCAAUGUGGUGUAGUGGCUAACAUUGCUGUCUUUCAUAGAGCAGCCGCCAAAAUGAAUCUUCACAGCAGCCCGGGGUUCGAUUCCCCGCAUUGGAA
rnacentral:tRNA from 1 species